rnacentral:rRNA from 1 species
UACGUAGGGGGCAAGCGUUGUCCGGAAUCAUUGGGCGUAAAGAGCGUGUAGGCGGCCCGGUAAGUCCGCUGUGAAAGUCCAGGGCUCAACCCUGGGAUGCCGGUGGAUACUGUCGGGCUCGAGUCCGGAAGAGGAGUGUGGAAUUCCUGGUGUAGCGGUGAAAUGCGCAGAUAUCAGGAGGAGCACCAAUGGCGAAGGCAGCACUCUGGGACGUGACUGACGCUGAGACGCGAAAGCGUGGGGAGCAAACAGG